UAUUAAAAAUUUUAUUCAUCUCUACUAUUAAAACUUAGCAUGUUUAAUAAAAUAAUUAAAAAUCACACGUGAUGUGUUAUGUUUAUCUCAUGCUAACGUACAAGAAUCAGUUUUUAACAGUAGAAAUUGAUAAAAUUUUUAAUA
rfam:Gossypium hirsutum cultivar TM-1 chromosome 18, whole genome shotgun sequence